rnacentral:rRNA from 1 species
AGUGAACGCUGGCGGUAGGCCUAACACAUGCAAGUCGAACGGCAGCACAGUAAGAGCUUGCUCUUACGGGUGGCGAGUGGCGGACGGGUGAGGAAUACAUCGGAAUCUACUUUUUCGUGGGGGAUAACGUAGGGAAACUGACGCUAAUACCUCAUACGACCUACGGGUGAAAGCAGGGGAUCUUCAUACCUUUCGCUAUUGAAUGAGCCGAUGUCGGUUGAGUUAGUUGGCGGGGUAAAGGCCGACCAAGGCGACGAUCCGUAGCUGGUCUGAGAGGAUGGUCAGCCAAACUGGAACUGGGACCCGGUCCAGACCCCUACGGGAGGAAGCAGUGGGGAAUAUUGGACAAUGGGGGAAAGCCUGAUCCAGCCAUACCGCGUGGGUGAAGAAGGCCUUCGGGUUGUAAAGCCCUUUUGUUGGGAAAGAAAAGCAGCAGGUUAAUACGCCGCUGUUCUGACGGUACCCAAAGAAUAAGCAACGGCUAACUUCGUG